CCUACGGGCGGCAGCAGUGGGGAAUAUUGGACAAUGGGGGCAACCCUGAUCCAGCCAUGCCGCGUGUGUGAAGAAGGCCCUCGGGUUGUAAAGCACUUUCAGUGAGGAAGAACGCCUGGUGGUUAAUACCCAUCAGGAAAGACAUCACUCACAGAAGAAGCACCGGCUAACUCCGUGCCAGCAGCCGCGGUAAUACGGAGGGUGCGAGCGUUAAUCGGAAUUACUGGGCGUAAAGCGCGCGUAGGUGGCUUGAUAAGCCGGUUGUGAAAGCCCCGGGCUCAACCUGGGAACGGCAUCCGGAACUGUCAAGCUAGAGUGCAGGAGAGGAAGGUAGAAUUCCCGGUGUAGCGGUGAAAUGCGUAGAGAUCGGGAGGAAUACCAGUGGCGAAGGCGGCCUUCUGGACUGACACUGACACUGAGGUGCGAAAGCGUGGGUAGCAAACAGGAUUAUAUACCCGAGUAGUC
rnacentral:rRNA from 1 species